rnacentral:rRNA from 1 species
AGCGAACGCUGGCGGCAGGCCUAACACAUGCAAGUCGAACGCACCUUCGGGUGAGUGGCGGACGGGUGAGUAACACGUAGGAACGUACCUUUUGGUUCGGAAUAACGCAGGGAAACUUGUGCUAAUACCGAAUGUGCCCUUCGGGGGAAAGAUUUAUCGCCAUUAGAGCGGCCCGCGUUAGAUUAGCUAGUUGGUGAGGU